CCUACGGGAGGCAGCAGUGAGGAAUAUUGGUCAAUGGACGAGAGUCUGAACCAGCCAAGUAGCGUGAAGGAUGACUGUCCUAUGGGUUGUAAACUUCUUUUAUAUGGGAAUAAAAUGUUCCACGUGUGGGAUUUUGUAUGUACCAUAUGAAUAAGGAUCGGCUAACUCCGUGCCAGCAGCCGCGGUAAUACGGAGGAUUCGAGCGUUAUCCGGAUUUAUUGGGUUUAAAGGGAGCGUAGGUGGAUUGUUAAGUCAGUUGUGAAAGUGUGGGGCUAAACCGUAAAAUUGCAGUUGAACUGGCAGUAUUGAGUACAGUAGAGGUGGGCGGAAUGCGUGGUGUAGCGGUGAAAUGCUUAGAUAUCACGAAGAACUCCGAUUGCGAAGGCAGUUCGCUGGACUGCAACUGACACUGGGGCUCGAAAGUGUGGGUAUCAAACAGGAUUAGAUACCCCAGUAGUC
rnacentral:rRNA from 1 species